GACACAGUCAUAUUUCAGAAGCAAAUAAAGCACUACCAUGAACAUUGUUGUCUUCCAAAUAAAAUGGGCUUUAAAGUUUGCAUGGAUUUCCAAACAAUCCUGAAUUAAGAAGACAGUGGCUUGUAAAUAUUCAUCGUGACAAAUUAAAGCUAACGCCACACAGCAAAGUUUGCAUCCUUCACUUCUCCCCCUUUACUUGGUCUCUGUUUGACACUAACGACAACAAACACACUUUAAAAUAAGCACAUAAAACAUUGUCCACAAAGUUUAAAGAAAGUAAAACUCACCAUCGUGUCUGUGAAUGUAUAACGAGGCGUACAUCUUAUAAUCUUUCUCCAACUUACUUGUUGGGGCUUUGGAUUGAGCUACAUCAUUAACUGUUACCUUAGGCAAGCACCUAGUGUAAAAUGCCAUUUUCAAUAGACCGGAAGCGACCAAGCCGCUUAUCCCCGAACACGGAAGCUGACGUGCAAAGAACCCAUACCUGCUUUUAUGGCAGCUACUCACCGCACCACAUGUGAGACGCUGUCCGUCCUUGCCGCAGAUGUGUGAUCGUGGAGCAAAACCUUCAACUGAUCACACGGUUUGACAAGCGGGAACUGAGGCCAGGUUCCUGUCCCAGAUCCUGGAUUCUGAUCGUCUGUUGCCCAGUGGACAAGACUGGUGAGCUAACCAAACAUCGACUCAAGAGAAACGUCACAUCCUGUCAACUCCUUCCAAUCUGGCAAGAGAAAAAGCAAAGGGAGCAGACUGAGGCAGAAUCAGAAACAGAGAGAGAGAAAAAAUGAAAAACAGGAUCAAACAGCCUGGCUGGCAAUGAACUUGGAACUGGAGAGCUGGAGCACAUGGCAACAAAGACAUCUUGGCAAAGAGCAUUGGCUAUGUACUGACAGCAUAAUAGAAAUACAUUUACGAAAAAAGAAAAAAAAAAUUAAAGUCUCCUUUGUUUUGUUUUUUUUCAUGCACUUUUCUCCGAAUAGUUCUGAGGCUUUUUUUUUUUCUUACCUCUGUACAACCCUCAAAAAUCAAAAAAGUGGUUAGCUGAUCCAUGGCCUGGACCAAGCUGUAAUUUUCUAAUCAGUUAACCAACGUCAAAACGAUGGCUCCCACUUAUUGUUUAACGCAGAAGCUUUUCAGUGUGCAGACCACACAAUAUGAAAAGGUUCUCUCAAAUAAAUAUGAUACUGUGUUCCUAUUAUUAUUCGUUUGACAUUUGCCUUGCAUCACUGAAAUAUUGCUUACAGAUAUAUACAGACAGAGACAUAUUCUGCCAUAAUUAUGUCUGUGCACAGCACAGGGUAGCUUUGUUUCAGUCACUGGUAUUAAUUUUCAUCCUGUAUCCUGUUGUACAUGCUUUGGAGAAAUUGGUGGACUUUGUGAUCUAUUAAAAAAAAAAAAACGGUUAACAUAUCGUUUUAAUCAAAUAAUACUUUGAAUUAUUAUUUUUUCUUUAUUAUUGUGUAUUGCUGUCUUUUUGGCUGUUGUAUA